GGCGCCUACUCCCACCCUUUGUGAACUUUAUCUCCGUUGCUUUGGCGGGCCAGGUGCCCACGCGCCGCCGGCUUCGGCUGGAGAGCGCCCGUCAGAGGACCAUUUAAACCCUGUGACCGUGACAUCUGAGUAACCAAAAAAUUGAAUCAAAACUUUCAACAACGGAUCUCUUGGUUCUGGCAUCGAUGAAGAACGCAGCGAAGUGCGAUAAGUAAUGUGAAUUGCAGAAUUCAGUGAAUCAUCGAAUCUUUGAACGCACAUUGCGCCCUUUGGUAUUCCGAAGGGCAUGCCUGUUCGAGCGUCAUUUAAACCCUCAAGCUCUGCUUGGUUUUGGGUGCAGGUUUGUCAAAACCCGCCCGUAACUCGUUGGUGGUCGGUACCGGCUCUAAGCGUAGCAAAAUCUUUCGCUUCCGAGACGGUGUCUUCCCGCCAGGAAACCACCCUUUUUUAAAGUUUGACCUCGGAUCAGGUAGGGAUACCCGCUGAACUUAAGCAUAUCAAUAAGCGGAGGAAAAGAAACCAACAGGGAUUGCCUCAGUAACGGCGAGUGAAGCGGCAACAGCUCAAAUUUGAAAUCUGGCACCCGCCCGAGUUGUAAUUUGCAGAGGAUGCUUUGGAGUCGCGCCUGGUCUAAGUUCCUUGGAACAGGACGUCGCAGAGGGUGAGAAUCCCGUACGCGGCCGGGCGCCUAUCCACGUAAAGCUCCUUCGACGAGUCGAGUUGUUUGGGAAUGCAGCUCUAAAUGGGAGGUAAAUUUCUUCUAAAGCUAAAUACCGGCCAGAGACCGAUAGCGCACAAGUAGAGUGAUCGAAAGAUGAAAAGCACUUUGAAAAGAGAGUUAAAAAGUACGUGAAAUUGUUGAAAGGGAAGCGUUUGCAGCCAGACUUGACGACGUUGCUCAGCCGGUCUUUGACCGGUGCACUCUUCGUUCGUCGGGCCAGCAUCAGUUUGGGGGGUCGGAUAAAGGCCUUGGGAACGUGGCUCCUCGGAGUGUUACAGCCCUCGGCACAAUGCGGCCUCCCCGGACUGAGGAUAGCGUUCGCUAGGAUGCUGGCGUAAUGGCGGUCAACGGCCCGUCUUGAAACACGGACC
rnacentral:rRNA from 1 species